CCUAGCAUGGCAUAGUGGCUUGAGUGUUGGACUACAACUCUGGAGACCAGGGUUCGAUUCCCAGCUUGGC